rnacentral:lncRNA from 10 species
GUGCAUACUAGUGGGAAAAAAUGAGAGCACACGGCAUGUAAUUCAGCCAAAGAGAGAAAUAUAUGUCAAACAUCAAGCUUAUUGACAAGAAAAGAAAUGAGCAGUUUGCCUAUAUACUAUCUUUGGCAGUUCUGUCUAAUUUAGCCAGCAGGAAAAGACACUCCCAAAUUCUUGGGCAGGCGGCUAACAUAACGAAAGAAGUUCUGGAUAUGAGGUGUGUAUGACAACCGAAUGGGGUUAAACUACCAGAUAUGAAGGAGCAAAAGUCUAGGUUAUAAUGAUGGCAAAGGCAAAAGAGAAUAAGGAAGACAUCGAAAUCACUAACUUUUGGUUGUUUAUCAUACCAAAUGAUAAGCAAUAAAGUUUUAUUACCAACUAUGAAAGUGGAUCAACAGGCCGGGCACGGUGGCUCAUGCCUGUAAUUCCAGCACUUUGGGAGGCCGAGUUAACUCAUAUUCUAUUUUACCACACCACCCCUAGAAAGAAGAAAAUUCAAACAAAUAAAACAAAUAAAGUCAAACAAAAAAUGAAAAUCUGAUGUCAUACAACCAUGAAUCUGUGAAAAUUCUGAUUUCAAGCACACAAGAAUUCAAAGAAUGAACAAAGGAAAAGGUAUUGACAGCAAUGUUUUUACACAGCCAAAGAGUGGUAGGGCGUAGUAACAGGUCACUACCACAGGAUGCUGGAGUCUCUUCCAAAAAUGUAUCUGCCACUUAUAACCUAAUUAAUGACAGAAAAUGUCAGGGGAAAGCAACUAGGAAUCAGAGGAAAGGGGAUGGUAAUAAAAACAUAAACUUACACAAAAGGCUAAAAU